UCUUACAAUAGAUACUCUAAAUAUAUCACCAUGUGACUCUAAAUCUUUGGGUUUUUUUCAUGGAUGUAAAUGUUUGUGUUUGUAUGUUUGAUUCUUUGGCUCUUGCAUUUCAUAAAUAUUUGAUAGCUACAAGAAAGAGCCUAAAAUUGUGCGUUCCACCAGCAUCAAUCCUAAGAUUGUUGGGGGCCGGUUAUUUCUGAACGCCUCUUCUGGCGCAUAUAUCUACUUUGAUUCUGAGACACCUGCAUGAAAAGAAGAGUUUGACAAAUUGACAGGCGAUGGUACAUACCAGACAACGUCUUCAUCAAAGCUGGUUCAUGCCCAAAAAGUUGAACCUCUAACCAUUGCUGAGCUUAACCAAUAUGUUAUUAUUGCUGAUCCUCAGGUAAUUGAGUAUGGCUAAAGUGACCGGAAUUCAGCAAGAUGAGGGUUGGUGUUAUAUUGGCUGCUCCGGAUGUUCAAAGAAAAUUUUCCGAGAGAUAUCUUCCUUCACAUGUGUCACAUGUAAUGAAACUAAUGUUGUGGCUGCACUCGUGUACCGAGUGAUACUGACAGUGUCAGACGCCACUGAUACAGCGGCUUUCCUUGGUUUUGAUAUGGAGGUGGCUAAACUGAGAAACAUUCAAGCUUCUAAGGCUGCACAGAUUGUGGUAUAACCUAUAAUCAAGCACUAACAAUUAACUUUUACUAUUACUUUUCCAUGAUGAUUCAUAUACAAUGUUGUAAACUGGUUUGCAGGGGAUAGGUGUUGAUGCUCAGGUUGACACGGACCUGCCUCGGUCCUUUGCUGAGAUUUUUGGGAAUACCUACACCUUCCAGCUCAAGUUAAAGGACUUCAAUUUUACUUCAAAGCACCAAACCUUCACUGUUUCUUGCGUUUUUCCUUCGUAAGAGCUUGCACCUGCGCCAGCCUUUGUUGUAAAUGUGCACCCCUGAAGCAGCGCAGCCUGAAGUUGUAGCAACAGGAUCAGAUGCCAAAGUUGAUAACACCUGCUGUGUUACAGAGGCGCCAUCAACAUCUGAUGGUUCACUUGCAGGAAGUAAAGCAUCAGCCAAAGAACAAAUUGCUUUGGAUGAGAAUCCACCGUAGAACCCACGUUUGGAAUGAGUAUACUAUGAGAACUUAUUAAACAACCACGUCUUCUCUUUAUCAAAUAAUUUGUUUUGUUUCUUUCAAUUUUCUUUGAAUCUAUAUUAAAAUACUCAAUUUUCUUUAGUUAUUUUCUCAUUUUAAAACUUUCAAAUUUCUUUAGCUCUAUUUCUCCUUUUUAAACUCUACGUGGUGGUUGUUGUUCCAAUUAGUAAUGGAAAUCACUUUCAGAACAAAA